rnacentral:rRNA from 1 species
CGUAGGGUGCAAGCGUUAUCCGGAAUUAUUGGGCGUAAAGGGCUCGUAGGCGGUUCGUCGCGUCCGGUGUGAAAGUCCAUCGCUUAACGGUGGAUCCGCGCCGGGUACGGGCGGGCUUGAGUGCGGUAGGGGAGACUGGAAUUCCCGGUGUAACGGUGGAAUGUGUAGAUAUCGGGAAGAACACCAAUGGCGAAGGCAGGUCUCUGGGCCGUCACUGACGCUGAGGAGCGAAAGCGUGGGGAGCGAACAGGAAUUAGAUA